UGUUCUGAGAUCUCUGCCAGGAAAUGGAUACAACCUUUCCACUAUCGAAUGCAGAUUAAAUCCCUGUCUCCAACCUCAAGGGAAAAAGGAACAAACAUAGUGACAACCAUCAGAGGCAGCUGUUUGGAUGAUAAGUUUGGUCAGUGGAAAGCAGCAAUAGGAAUUAUAAAGAAGGAAAGGGAGUGUAGUCUGAGUAUUGUUUUCCCAGCUCUUCCAUGAGGAGGCCA